CUUGCGGGGGUGGGGGAAGAAGGGGGCGACAGAGCGGCGGCGGUGGAGGCGGAGCGCACUGGACGGCUGGCCACCCCGCGGUCCUGAGCUCCAGGAGGCGCUGCGGUGCGCGGACGCCGUUAUCCCCGCGGCGCCACCAUCGCCCUCUGGCCGCGCCUUCCUGGGCCUCUGGAUUGAGUUCCCUGCCUCCUGGCAGGGAUGGCGGCGGGGGUGGGGUUUCAUGGCGGUGUCCGCGAACAGGAAGGCCUACCUUCGUGAACCCCUGAGCCUGGACCGAGGGCCUGUCUGCCCCCCAACCCCAACCGCCAGCCCCGACGGCCUUAGCCGAUGGAGGAUUAUGGAGGAGCCCCUACCCCGUACCCUUAAAUACUCAGGCUCAGCCAUGGUGACACGGGCCACUGGCGACACAGGUUUUACAGGACAGUUAAUUUCUACUUAAAACAGUUCCUCAACAAGCUAGUGAAACCAUGUCCGUGGAUCCAGGAACAGUCGGCCUCUCUCCUGCCUCUUGUCAGCUCUCCGUGUCCGGUUACUAUUGCCAGGUUCACCACCAUUGAGGCACUUGUCAAGCGAGCUUUGCGUCGCUUUAUUUAAUCCUAAGGGAACGUCAACUCGCCCUAGAAGCAUCCUCCCCAUUUUCCAAAUCAGUAAGUGGUGGCUUAGAGGGGUUCAGUAGCUCCUGCAUGUUUCCAGUUAGUGACACUGGAGGGGAAGCAGGUCUGCCAGGCGAGUGCCCUUAUCACAGACCACUGCUUUCACCACCUCUCUGAGCUUCCUCCUCCAUCCCUCACGGUCACCCCUUGCCACUGUGCAGGUUGUAUGCUGCACAACUCCACAGUCCACCAAUAUGUAGAACCUUUAGAGCAGUAAAGAGCUUUGAGGAAGGGACACGGUUUUCUCAUUUGCACAAAGCAGGCUUCGGGGCUGGCCUGCUGUCCCUGCAGCCAUCACCCCACGUUUCUUCUUCCUCUCCCUGGCACAGAACUUGUUGCUGGCGGAGGAUCGGACCUCUUCCACUCCUUAAGCUCUCAUUGCACCCAAUUUAUGCUGCUAGGGCUUUCAUUCCUGCCAAGGAGCAGCGGAUCUUCAACAUCCAGUGUGCCCAAGACCUGCCACUUCUGAGCUGUAUCAGGACACCUGCUGCUUCCUGCUGUGUCUGAUAGACCUGGCUGGUGUGGGCAUGCGCUCUCUACCCGGUUAGCCUGAGCUGCUGCUGCUGGGAGUGAGGAGCAGACUUUGGACCUGGGACUGUGGAGGUGGUCUGAGUGCUGUGGUCACAGCACACUGGUCACUGGCGUCAAAGGCCUCUUUCUUCACAAGUUCACUUCCUGCUGGACUACCCAGUCCCUGCCUGCAGCCCCCUCUAUGCCUUCAGCCAGGAACCAACCCAGCCUCAACCCUUUGUUGCCAAACAUUUCUUGGGAAGACAAUGAAUGGGAAAACAAAUGAAAAAAUGGUACACAAACAUUUCUGUUGACCGUUAACCCAUUUUGGGAGAGCCUCAAAAGUCUUGAACGCAAACUACUUUUACCCAAGAAGAAACAGAGGCUCAGAGAACUGAAAGGGUCUGCCUCAGAGAACAUGAGGGAAGGAGGGUCAUCUCAGUGCACCAGCCCUAAGCGCCCUGUCUCAUGCACCGAACCUGAACUGACAA